rnacentral:misc_RNA from 1 species
GUUGAGUUUAUUUUUUUUCCUCUAUCUGUUUGGUGAUUGGUUUGAAUUUGUAGGACAUUAAAAGUGAAGUGAACUUGGGUACUGCUCAAAGAUCUUUGCCUAUGGAUCCUUCUUCAAUUUAUGGGCCGGGAAUCAUGCAGUCAAAACCUGGAAUGGUAAAUACAGCUUUGAACCCUGGUGUUGGCAGUCUUCCAUUAAAGGGGUGGCCCCUAACAGGGAUUGACCAAAUUAGACCAAGUUUGGGUGCACAAGUUCAAAGGCCUCUUUUGCACGGUGCAAGUCAGUUUCAGCUUUUGCCACAACAACAGCAACAACUCUUGGCACAGGUUCAAGCACAAGGCAAUCUUGCUAAUUCACCAAUAUAUGGAGAUAUGGAUCCAAGAAAGUUUAGGGGAUUUCCUAGAGGCAAUUUGCAAGCCAAAGAUGGCCAACCAAAUGCAAAUGAUGGAUCUAUUGGUUCUCCAAUGCAAUCAACUUCAUCUAAGAUGAACAUGCCACCGAUGCAACAGUCGUCCUCUCAACAGCAAGAUCCUCUACAAUCGCAGCAAGUACAGAAUAAUCGAAAAAGGAAAGGUCCUUCAUCUUCUGGACCUGCUAAUAGUGCUGGCACAGGAAACACUGUAGGCCCUUCUCCUAAUUCUCAACCAUCAACACCAUCAACUCAUACUCCUGGUGAUGGAAUUUCCUCAGCAGGCAACUUGCAGCAUGUCAGUAGCAUGUCGAAAGGCAUGAUCAUGUAUGGUGCUGAUGGAACAGGAGCUCUUGCAUCAUCAACAAACCAACUUGAACAUUUUGGAGAUGUUGGGUCCUUAGAUGAUAACGUUGAAUCUUUUCUCUCACAUGAUGAUGGAGAUGGAAGGGAUUUGUUUAGCACAUUG